AGAAACUAAGACCCAGAGAAAGAAAACAUCUUGGCCGAGAACCCAGUCAUUGGCGAAACUGAUACUCAUAUCCAUUUACGUAGAAUACUGCCCCAGAGAAACAGGCAACAGCCAUCAGCAUUGAGACAAAGCCGUCCAUAAGCAAAAAGAUUACAACUCGUUGGAAGCUCAGAUGAUUAGUAUUUUUGAGCAGUAUUUUAAAAUUAAGGUAGGUGCAUUUUUCAGACACAAUGCUACUGUAUACUUAAUAGACUAUAGCAGGGUAAACGUCAUUUUUACAUGCACUAGGAAGACAGAAAGAUCUUCGGACUUGUCAUGGUCACUUUACUGCGGUGGUCUGGAACCAAACUCACAAUAUCUCUGAGGUAUGCUGUACAAAGAGCAUAAGUGACACGAUGGUGAAGCUAGCGGGGAGAACCACUGGUUCCUUUGUCCUGGAUAAUGACACCCAACAGUGCCGAUCUUUGGAGUACUUUUCCCUGUUGUUUCAUUCCACUGACUGAAUUUGAUUGUUUUGCCUCUAAGUCAUUUUGUCUGCGUGACCACAAUUACCACAAUAAAAAUAGCAAACAUUCAUCACCGAUAAAAGUUUCUACAUAUCCCAUGCUUCAGGUAAUCACCGAUCUGCCUUCUUUAACAAAAGUGAAUAGUUUAUGGCUUGUUUACAUUUUGUAGAAUUUUACAUAAAUGGAAUCAUAUAGUAUGCACUAUUUUUUAAAAUCUGGCUUCUUUCAUUCAUAAAUGUUUUCAGAAUCAUGUUCUCCCUUUUAAUUGCAGAAUAGUAACCCAUUGCAUAGUGUUAUGGGUAGAAUGGGUCUCCCCCCACCCCUCCCCAUGAAAGAUAUGUUGAAGUCCUGACCUCUAGUAUUUUAGAAUGCAGCUUUCUUUGGAAAUAGGAUCAGUACGGAGACAACCAAGUUAAAAUGAGGUUAUUAGGGUGGUCCCUCAUCCAAUGUGACUGGUUUCCUUAUAAAAUAAGAAACUUUGGACACAGAGAAAUGCACAGAGGAAAAAUGAUGUAAGCACACAGGGAGAACAUCAACUACAAGUCGAGAAAUUUCUGAGGCUGCCAGAGGCUAGGAGAGAGGGCCGGAACUGAUCUCUUUCCGAGCACGUAGAAGGACACCUUGGUUUCGGAUUUCUAGCCUCUAGAACUGUGAAAUAAUAAAUACCCGUUGUUCAGGCCACUUGUUAUGGCAGCCCUAAGAAACUAAUACAUCUGGAUAUACACUAAUACAUGUGGAUCUAGACUAACACACACGGAUAUACAAAAUGUGUCUGUUUGUCUCUACUAAUAGACAUUUGGGGUUGUUUCCAGUUUGGGGCUAUUAACAAAAGCCCAAAUGGCAGCUUUGUGUGGACAUGUGUUUUCAUUUCUCUUGGGUAAGUAUCUGAGAGAGGAAGGAUGGAUCCCAUAGUAAUUACGUGCUUAACUUUUCCAGGUAACUACCAAACUCAUUUCCAAAGCGACUGUACCAUUUAAAAAUCUGACCUAUGAAAGGCAGCCCAUGAGAGUUCUAUUUCCUCCACAUCCUUGCCAAUAUUUGGUUUGACCGGUCUGUUCAAUUUUAGCCAUGCUAUUAGGUGACUAGUGGUAUUUCACUGUGCUUUUAGUUUGCAUUUUCCUAAUAACUGAUAAUAUUGAGCAUCUUGUCAUAUGCUCACUUACUAUCUGUAAAUCUUCUUUGGUGGAGCAUCUAUUUGUUGUUUUUGCUUAUUUCGCUGGGUUGUACAUUUUCUUAUUACUGAGUUUUGAGUAUUUUUAUACGUUCUGGAUAUAAAUUUCUUUAUUAAUUUAUAAAUAUUUUCAAACUUAAAAAAAUUUUGACUUUAUGUUUUGCACAAUGUAAUAAAGUAUAUUAUAGUUCUGAUGUAAAACCUACAGUUAUAAAACUUCUAGAGGAAAACAAGGAGUGGACAUCUGUGACCUUGGGUUAGGCAAGAUUUCUUCAAUAUGACACCAAAAGCAUGAACCAUGAAUGAACAAAUUGAUAAAAUAGACCUUAUGAAAAUUAAAGAUGUCUGCUCUUUAAAAGACUGUUUAAACUGAUGGUUACUGAAGGAGAGAUGGAUGGGGAGAUGGGUUAAAUAGGUGACAGAGAUUAAGGAGGGCACUUGUGAUAAGCACUGGAUGUUGUAUGUAAGUGAUGAAUCAUGAAAUUCUACAAAUCAUGAAAUUCUAUGAAUCGUGAAAUUCUACACCUUUAACUAAUAUUAAACUGUAUGUUAAACAAAUGGAAAUUUCAUUUUUCAAAAAUGUUUAUUUAUUUAUUUUGAGAGAGACAGAGAGAGAGAGAGGUAGAGAGCAAGAAGGGGAGGGACAGAGAGAGAGGGAGAGAGAGAAUCCCAAGCAGGCCCUACACUGUCGAUGCAGGGCUCGAACCCACAAACCAUGAGAUCAUGACCUGAGCCGAAACCAAGAGUCAGAUGCUUAACCAACACAGAUGCCCAAGCUAAACAGAAUUUAAAUAAAAAUUCAGAGACAAAAAAAGAGACUGUUUAAGGAAUAAGAAGACAAACAACAAAAUGAAAUAAAAUAUUUCCAAAAUGCACAUCUUGUACAAGACUUUUAUCUAUAAUAUUCUUGAAACUCAAUAAGGAAAUAACGAACUCAAUAUUAAAAAUGGACAAAGUAUUUUUUCUUAGUCUGUAGCUUAUCUUUUUCAUUUUCUUGUUUUCUUCCAGAAGUUUAAUAGUUUUAGAUUUUACACUUAAAUCUAUGAUUUAUUUUGAGUUGAUUUUUAUAAAUGGUAUGAUGUAUAGAUUGAAGUUCUCUCUCUCUCUCUCUCUCUCUCUCUCUCUCCCAUAGGAUAUCCAAUUUACCACUCACCUGCCUUUGUACCUUGGUCAAAAAUCAGUUGUCUAUACUUGUUGAUAUGCUCAUAUAUAUUUAGAAUCUUCUUUUCUAUUGAUUUAUCUUCAUGCCAAUUCCAAACUGUCUUGAUUACUUCUGUUUUAUAAUAUCCUCGAAAUAAGGAAGAGUUUGGGGCACCUAGGUGGCUCAGUCAAUUAAGUGGUUAGGUGUCUGACUCUUGAUUUUGGUUUGGAUAGUUACUAUUGCUGUCUUCAGGUUCAUUAAUCUUUAUUUCUAAUAAUAUCUAAUCUGCUGUUAAUACCAUCCAAUGUAGUUUUCAUCUUAGACAUUGUAGUUUUCAUCUCUAGAAAUUUGAUUUGGAUUUAAAAAAUAUCUUAUGUCUCUACUUAAAUUUCUGAACAUGUAUGAUAUGGUUAUAAUAACUUUUAAUGUCUCUGCUCACUCUAACAUCUAUAUCAAUUCUGGAUUGAUUUUUACUCUCAUUAUUGGUUAUAUUUUUCUGCUUCUUUGCAUGGCUGGUGACUUUUAAACUGGAUUCCAGGUAUUGUGAAUUUUACCUUGUUAGGUGCCGGACAUUUUUGUUUUCCUAUAAAUAUUCUUAAUCGUUUUUCCUGGGAUGCAAUUAAGAAACAGGUUGGCCUUUUUGUGUCUUGCUUUUAAGAUUUGUUUAGGUAGAAUAAGAGCAGCAUUUAACCUAAGGCUAAUUAUUGCUCACUACUGAAAUAAGAUACUUCUGAGUAUUUUACUAGAUGUUUCAUGGGAUAUGAGGUUUCCCAUUCUGGCUGGUGAAAAGAGGUCAUAUUUCUGGUCCUGUGUGAACUCCAAAGACUGUUUCCUCUGAUCCUUCUGGGGCGGUUAUUUGCUAACAUCAAGCAUUUUCGUCACACAUAUGCACUGAGCAGUACUCUUGAGAAUACUCAAAGGGGGUCCCCUGCAGAUCUCUCCCAUCUCUGUUAUUUGUACUGCAAAUGCUAGCCAAUAUGGUCUCCAUGGAUGCUCAGCUUAAUCUACUCAACUCAGGGAAACUCAGGGUGCUUUGGUUUCCACCCCCUGCAUCAUGGUCUAAGAACUCUCUUAUAGAAUUAAAAGGGGCAAUUUUAGAGCUCCCCUCAUUUGUUUCCCGUCCCUUACAGAUUGCUGUCCUCAAUGGCCUGAUAUCCAGUGUCUUGAAAACCCCUGUUGCAUAUAUUUUGCCCUUUUAGUGGUGGGUUUGUUUCCAAGAGAUGGUGAAACUAGUUUCUUACUUCAACUUGGCUAGAACUGGAAGUCUUACAUCCCAGAUGUAAAAGGACUUCAAAAGGACUCAGAGUUUUAUAAGAUUAUAUUCAAAAUGUCUAGGAUACAAUUUAAACACAUUUGAUAUGCAAAAAAGAGAAAAUCUCAAUAACUCAUAAGGAAAAAAACACUCAACAGCUGCCCACCCUGUAGUGAUGUGAAUCCUGGUGUUCUAAAUCCUCUAACAAACUUCAAAGCAACUAUAAUAACUAUGUUUCAUGAAAUAAGGUUGAACAAUCUUGAAACAAAUGGAAAGAUAAUAGUUCUCAGCAGGGAAAGAGAAGCUGUAAAAAAUAAAAUGGACAUUUUAGAACUAAAAAAAGUAAAGUAAUUAUGACACAGAAAAGAAUGUGUAAACUUGAAUAGAGCAAUAGAAAACAUCCAAUUUGAAUACCAGAGAAAAAUUUAUUGGAAAAAAAGCUAACAGAGUCUCAGGGACCUGUGGAAUAGUAUAAAAAGAUACAAAAUUCAUGCCAGUUGAAACCUAUGAAAGGAGAAGAUGAUGCAGAAUAAAUAUUUGAAGAAAUAAUGGCUGAAAACUUCCAAAAUUUUGGAAAUUUUGGAAUUUCCAAAACUUUGGAUUUUUCAUGAGAAACAAUAAAGGACAGAAUAAAGGGACACAACACUUUAAAAGUAGUAGAAGAAAUGAACUGUCAACCCAGGAUUCUCUAUCCAAUAAGAGUACCUUUGAAGAAUGAAGGAAUAAUAACAACAGUCUGAGUUGAAAGAAAACGAAGAGAAUUUUAGUCAAAAGCAUUUCUUCUCUAAAACAAAUGUUAAAGGAAGAACUUCAGGAAAAAAGGAAAUUGUACCAUAGGGAAACUUGGAACUUUAGGCAUGAAGGAAAAGCAACAUAACUGGUAAACGACUAGGUACAUAUGACAGAUUAUUUUCUCCUCUACAUAUGGAAUACGUAUGUACAUGUAUUCUCUGGAAUACAUAUGAUGAUACAAAGCCAAAAUUAUACUAUUGCCUGGGUAGGUUUUACUGUAUGUAGAUGUAAUACAUAUGACAACUACAAAUACAACAUAAAAGGGGGAGGAUACAUUUUCUACAUUUAACCCAAAGAGGUAAAAUAUUAAUUUUAGUCAACUAUAAAAAGGGACAUAUGUAUGUAGCAAUGACUAGACCGACCACACAAAGGGAUAAAGACAAAAAGAGAGUAGAUAAAUUAAGAUGGAAUAUAAAGUUAAAUAUUUCAAACAUUUUCACAAAAGGGGAAAAGAGGAAUACAAAAUAGAGGGGGAAAAACAAAAUAAUGGCAGACUAAAACACCAACUUAUCAAUAAUUACAUUAAAUAUAAAUGGUCUAAGCACACAAAAGACAGCAAUCAUUAAGUUGGACAAAAAACUAAGACUCAAAUAUGUGUUGUUGGGAAACCAACCCACUGAAAACAUCUUGAUAUAGAUAGGUUAAAAGUGAAAAGAAAAAUAUGUAAUGUGCAAACACUUAAAAGAAAGCUGGAUUGUCUCUAUUAAUGUUAAAUAAAGUAGACUUUAGAACAAGGAAAAUUACCAAGAGGCAUCGUUAUGUAAUAAGAGGGUCAAUUCACUAAGAAGACAUACAAUCUUUUAUAUGUAUGCACACACAGAAAACCAAAACAAAACCCAAAAAAUGGUAUUAAAAUACAAUUGGAAGAACUGCAAGGAGAAAUAAACAAACCCACAAUUAUAGUUGGAGGCUUUCAGUUUUGUCUUUCAGUAACAGGACAAGUAGACAAAAACAUUACCAAGACCAUAGAAGACCUGAACAACACCAUCCCACCAAAGAAUAGCAGAAUAUACAUUUUUUUUCAAGUGCACAGGAAAUGCUUAUCAAGACAGAACAUAUACUGGGUCAUAAAAACAACAUAAAUCCGUAAAAUUGAAAACAGAAAAGAAAUAAAUACCAGAAAUUGACUUUUUCAAAUGUUCAAUAAGAAUGGUAAAACUUUGUACAGAUUAACCAGAGAAGGAGAGAGAGAGAGAGAGAGAGGGAAAGAGAGAGGGAGAGAGAGGGAGAGAGAAAAAAUUAUAAAUAUCAGGAGGGGAAAAGAUGGUAUCAUUACAGACCCAACAUAUGUUAAAAGUGUACUAAGGGAAUAUUAUAAAGAACUCUACCAUAAGAGACUCUUAAAUAUAGAGAAAAAACUGAGGGUUUGAUGGGGGGGGUGGGAGAGAGGGGAAAGUAGGUGAUGGGCAUUGAGGAGGGCACUUGCUGGGAUGAGCACUGGGUAUUGUAUGGAAACCUAUUUGACAAUAAUAUUAAAAAAAAAAGAACUCUAUGCACAUACAUUUAACAACUUCAAUGAAAUAGAAAUUCCUCUGAAUACACAAACUACCAAAACUCACCGAAGAAGAAAUAAUGUGAAUAGUUCUAUGGUUUUUUUUAAUGUUUAUUUAUUUUUGAGACAGAGAGAGACAGAGCAUGAACGGGGGAGUGCCAGAGAGAGAGGGAGACACAGAAUCCAAAGCAGGCUCCAGGCUCUGAGCUGCCAGCACAGAGCCUGACGCGGGGCUCGAACUCACGGACCGUGAGACCAUGACCUGAGCCGAAGUCGGACGCUUAACCGACUGAGCCACCCAGGAGCCCCAGUUCUAUGUUUUUUAAGGAAAUUGAAUUCAUAGUUAGGUAGCACAGAUCAGUAUGGACAAGAGAAAAAUAAUCAAGACUAACUGAUGUAGGCUCCUUAACUUCCCUCUGCUGAGGAAUGAAUAUACUGGUCUCUCAAAUCUAAGAUUUUGGUUGUUAACUUAUUUGAUGAAGGGUGUUGAGUAGUGAGUUGAGAACGACAGGUUUUGAGCAAAUGUCUUGAAAUAGGAGAGUGAUAUGAUAAACGGUUCCUAAGGUCUUAAUCUCCUUAAAGUAAGGAGUUUUUGGCAAAUUGUUUUUGAAUUGGUAUCUACUUAGAAUAGAUAGCCUCUAAAAACAGGGAUAAUGACCAGGGGGACGUGACAGAAAUGUGGUGGUAAAGAUUUGAUCUAGGCAGGCAGUUUUCAACAAUGAAUGUAAGGGAUAAAUCUAAGAACUGGUAUAGUUUAUAUACAACCACAUGUUUGUUUUAAUUUUUCUCUAAGUAAGGUAUUUUUCUAUAUAAGAUAACACAUAGCUAUGCUUUUUGGGUAAAAGGCAAUACAUAUUAACUAAGCACUUCUAAAGCAUCUGGAAAAAGCUGCCUAAUUCAAUACCCUUUCCCUCAUCUGUUCUAGACAGUUAAACAUGUUUUGGACUAGCCGAAUUUCCACAAUACUUUUUUUUUUUGACAUUAAAAUGGCUGAAUUCUCCAGGCAGAAAAUGAAAACCCUAAAAUAGAGACAGAAUAACAAGUAUUACUUCUGUUAAAACAAAUACAGAAUUUAAAUACACAAUUGAACUACUUCUGUUUAUGUGUUUUAACAUUUAAAUCUUAUCCUAUACAAUAAUUGAAACUGCCCAAAGAAAAAUAACCAAUUUGAGGCUGAAUAAAACGAGGCUGGUGGUCUCGGGAACAAGCAUAUUAGUCAAGUAGUGUUGGCAAAAUCCAUUUUUGCGUGUAAUUUUGAGAAUAAGCCUUUAGGUCAGCGUUGAGUUUGUGCGUGUGCCGAGAGCUAAAACAAUGUGGCCAAUGAGAACGGCUCUUGUGUGAUGUUUUCAGUUUCUAACUUUAUCCCCAUCUGUUUGAACAUUCCUGCAGUGGUGCCCAGAACAGCUUGUUGAUAACAAUGAGGCAGUUUCAAGGGGCACAUUUUUCUAGAGACCAAAUGAUCUUCAAAACACUCAAGAGAAAAUCAAGGUGGUCUUCUAAGCUCUUGGUAUUCUAAGUUUUGUUCGUGGAUCAGAAGUACUGACAUAUCCAGAAGCUAUGCUGGAAAUACAGUAUCUCAGCCCCAACACCCCGCCCCCCGCCCCCCCGCCACCACUAUGAUCUAUUGAAUCAGAAUGUCCUGUCAUUUCAUCAAGACUCCCAGGUGAUAUUACAACUCGAGACAAUGUGUUUUAAGCUCUUGGAACAGGUUUUGCUGGGAGAUGAAAGGUUUACAUAUUUUAAGAGACAAGUGCUGAUUCUUUAGGUGAGGGUUUUGGCACGGCAGCUAUGUGACUGAACAGCAUGCAGGGACAAUACAGAAAAGGGAAAGGCCUCUCCUGGCAAUGACGCUCAGAAAACUAACCUCCUAUGGCACAGCAGAGUUCCUGGAGGUCCUCAGAACGCUUAUCAAGUUCUAACGCAAGAGUUUCGGUAUCAGGCAAGUGGUAUUAAUGCUUUCCUCAUGUUUAGACAAAUCCACCUGUUUUUAUAAGUAUGAAUUUAUGAAUUAAUAAGCAUGUACAAGAGGUCAAUCUUCCAGCACUUUCUCAGACCAAGAGAAAAUAAUUAUCUGUAAACAGUCUGAUUUUGUAAUCACACAAAAAACAUCUCCUUCCUGCAGCAGGGACACAGGGUGGGAAGGUCCAGUUUGUAAUUCACAACCUGGAGAGGGGCUGAGUGCUAUACUAGGGUCCAAAUUCGGUCUUUCUCCAAUUUCCAAAGCACAAUCCUGGCCCGAACCUCUGGACACACAGAGAACUCUGCCAGUAACAGUCUGUGCAGGAUGAGGAAAUCCUUCCUUUGUCAGUCUCUGGCAGUCAGGACCCCUCUGCUUCAUUUCAAGAUUAAUUUUCUGGCUAAAUCUUUGUACUCCUCGUUCUCAGAGAUCUUUAUGAGGAGAACAGGCAGAUCUGGAUGGCCUAGAUGAGCUUGACCAAGUGAUUUCACACAUGGAUGGAGCACAGAGCUAGGCUUGGGUGGGGUGGAACUUUCUCCUUUGUUUCUCCCUUUGGAUGUCUGUGUCCCCUCCUUCAACAGCUCCUUUUACGACCUUUCGUUGGCUCAUUAAUGGGAUUCCAUUUAGAAAUGAAAAUAUAAGCGAUAUCUAAAUGUCCAAUAAUAAGGGUGUUUUAACCAUCUGCUUUUAUUGAUUUGAUCGUUCACCCUGUCAUUUUGGGACUCUCUUAUGGUGCUGUGCUUGGAUAUUUAAAAUGUUCUUCACUGAAUCAUUCUCAAAGCUUCUGGAAAGUCCAACAAUGAGUUACCACAUGGAACCUUCACAGAAUCCCCAGAAUGCAAUGUCCUGAUACUAGGAACAGUAAAGAACAGGGAGAGGGAUACUGUCUCGGAAGCCAGACACGUGGGUGUUGGCACCUUAGCUCUGUCACACCUAGCUGUGCCACCUUGGGUAAGUUUCUUAAGCCUCAGUGAGCCUCCAUUCCUCACUGUAAUAGGGGAAAAAUACUACCUAUUGCGGAGAUUCUGUGAGGAUUCAGAGAGAGAAGUGUAGAUCUCUUAGCGAGAAACACAGGCACUUAGUAAAGAAUCAAGAGGAUUAUGCUCCCUUUUCCUUUGUAUUGUGAAUAUUUUAGUGUGGUUUCCCUAGAGUAUGGAGCCUGAGUCAAAACUUAAGUGCCAAAGUUUUGCUGAGGGGGUGCGAUACAGGGAAGCAAGAGUGAAGGAACCAGGUAAGUGAGGUAGGGGAUGGGAGAAAGCAAGGGCAAAGGAGUGCAUUCCAAGCUGUCAGAUUACCUGGAAACUUAACUGGUUGCUCAGACAACUCCAGAGAGGGGAAAAUGGAACCACUAGAUCCCGGAACAGUCUCUUAGGGAGGAGAGAGGAAGAAGAAUCUGUUGCUGCUAUCUCCUCUUGCUCACUGAACAAAGUCUCCCCCUCUCUCUACCACUGGGGUGGAACUCUCUAACAUUUCUGGGUUAUUUUUUCCACAAGAGCAGUGGCAUUUAGCUAGUGAAAGGGCACGAGCCAGCAAUAUUUUAUGCCUGCCUUUCUGCACACUGCCUUCUGAAAGACCCAUCCUGGAAAGCCGGUGGGAUGGGGUGGGGGGAGCUUAGGAAGCUUCUGGCAUCUGUACUUCAGCAGUGACGGCAAAGCACAAGGGCAAGAAAAGAGAGCCCCGUAGUGUCAGGUCAGAGGUAUGAGAUGAGGCGGGUUUGGUCCUGUUUCUAGCAACAUGGGAAACCCAAAGCAGCUGCUUGCUGAAGCAGGGCCAAGUGCUGGGGAGCCUGGUGCAAUGAGAAGUCAGCCUCCAUCAGGAGGGCAAGGACAGAGGUCGGGCAGCUUCUCUUCAGUAGAUUCACAUCACCUCUCCGCCCUGACAAGAGUGCCAUUGGCGCCAAGCGAUCUUCCUGGAGGGUCAUCUGUUUCCCCAAGCAGGCGACAUAGCCAAGCAAAUCUGAGAGGUGCAUAAAUCGGGUCUGGUAUUACGAGAACAGGAUACGGCCUUUCAACAGCGUAUGAACGCAAAGGGAAUGCAACAGUGGCUCACUGCACAGAUCUGACCCGGCUUAAGUUUAUUUUUAGGGCCCCUCUGGUUAAAGCUCAGGAGCAGGGUUGGGUUUAGAGGCCUUGAUUUGCAGAGUUAGCUUGUCACCUGACUUCAGAGUCCACGCUCAAUCACGUAACUGUGCCUACUGCCCCGGCACAGCUGUGCACCAACACUGGGGCACUAUCAUCGGCCAGCAUGCGCAGAGAUGAGGCCUCAUGUCUCAGUGCACCUGCAGUGACAGAACCAGAGGCCGCAGAAGACACUGGAAACCCAAGAAAAAAGAAAAGGCUUUAGCAACAGAGAACCAAGAGAGAAAUCAAGAAAUUGAGGAACAUACUUGUGAUGAGCCGUGGGUGAUGUAUAGAAUUGUCGAGUCACUGUAUGGUUCACCUGCGGCUAAUAUAACACUGUAUGUUAACUAUACUGGAAUUAAAAUAAAAUUAAAAAUUAAAUACAUUAAAAAAAUUGUUACAUAAAAAAAUGAAGGAAAACGAAAGUUGCAGGUUGAAGGGAGUGACCAUCAGUUUCAGGGGAUGCCAAGAAACCAGCCCAGUAGAACAGGAAUAAGAAACAACAUAAUGGAGACCAGAGCAAUUUCUGUGGCAUGAUGGGGGCUGGGAAUAUUGCUAAGGACUGAGCACCGUGCAACGGAAGUGAGGAAACAGCUGGUAUUUUUUUUUUUCCGAAAGUAUUUUUUACUUAACGAUUGUCAGAGAAGCAAACGAAGGAAAGUUAUGGUAGCUCGAGGAGAAGCAGGGUUGAUGCGAGGUAUGUAUAUAUUUUAAAUACCAUUUAUUUAUUCAUUUAUUUCACCCAUCCUGAUAUCAUUGGGUUGUUCCCAGUUGUUGACAAUUAGGAAUAGUGCUGCUAUAAAUAUUUUUGUAAAUGUCUUUGGGAACAUGCGCGUGCCUGUUUCGGCUGAACGUAUCUGUAGGCAUAGUGAUAACGCAUUUCUACAUUCAUUGGUAGCACAGUUUAUUGAUAUUUCAGUCAGAUCAUGUUAAUCAAACCAUCUGAAAUCUCACUGUGUAUGUGUGUCUGCUUGCUCUAAAAAUUACUGGUAGUGGUAUGUCAAAACCCACAGUACAUUAUUGAUACGUGUUUCCUCUUUUGCUAAUUUUUGUUGUCUACAUUUAGAAGAAUAUGCAAAUUUAGAAUAGUCUCUUUAAGCAUAUACAGAUUUAGACUACUUUAUAUCUUCUUGGUAAAUUGAACUUUUUCUCUCUAUAAAACUUCCUUUUCUUAUUUCUUGUAAUACUUCUCAUCUCAAAGUUUUCUUUGAUAUAUUUUGCUUAGGGUUUGGAAGGAAUCUAUUUUUUCUAUCUUUUUAUUAAUAAUAUCUUACAAGAUUUUUUUUGUUUAUUUAUUUUUGAAAGAGAGAGCGAUAGAGUGACAGAGUGUAAGUUGGGGAGAGGGGCAGAGAGAGAGGGAGACACAGAAUCUGAAGCAGGCUCCGAGCUGUCAACACAAAGCCUGAUGCAGGACUUGAACUCGCAAACCGUGAGAUCAUCACCUGAGCUGAAGUCAGACGCUUAACCAACCGAGCCACCCAGGCGCCCCUAUGUUACAGUAUCUUUAUAUUCUUAUAUGUAAGAUGUGUUUAUUAUAAUCAGAAUAUAGUUGUUUUUUUUUUUUUUGAUCCCAACUCCUUGGAUCAAAUUUUCCCAUUUGUAAAGUAUUUGCAUCUGUUUAUGCUUAUUACAAUGAUCUAGAUGCAAGGUAUUUUUUAAGGUGGUGGCAGCAUUUGUUCUACUUGCAGGCAGAGGGGAAAUAAAAAACUAAAAAGGUUGAAAAUAUAAGAGAGGGAGAAGAAAAUGAUGACUGAUGGGUUGUGUUCUAGAGUGGAUGGAUGGCAAUGAUAUUUGGAGUCGAGAACAUAAGACAAGGGGUGGUCUUAUAGAGGAAGCCGGGGAGGAUUGGUACAGAUCUAUGUUUGGGGGUGGUAUAAAAAGAUGUUUAGGAAGAUUGUCUUUGUUGGCCUCUAUUUUUCUCCCAAGGUGGGAACAAGGUCUGCUAAAAUAUCUGCAAACAGAGCUAAGAGGUUUGGGGACAUGGAAAGGUUCUGCCAGUGCCACUAUGGUCUAUGGAAACGAGAGGGUGACAGUGAGAGAGAGAGGUGUUUGGGAAGUGAGGAACAGUCCUCUGGGCAACCAUAAAAUCCCGCCCCAACUAGCUGUCUACUUGAUUUUCCAGGGAGUCCCCAAGUCCUACGUCCUUCUGGGUCCACAUUGUCGCAGCUCUGAGGGAUCGCUUUCCCAGAUAGUGCUAAUGCUGUCGUUCCAGUUGGAAUAAAACCCUGGAAGGAGUUUAUGUGGAAUGGCAGAAAGAAGGACUUUUUCAUUCAUCCCCCUGAUUUCUGUCUUAUGUGUAAUUCGAUUUGAUCUGCCUUUUUUUUUCACACAAGCUGGUACCUCUGUAUGCCCUAUAGUAUAAUCUUCCUUCUAUGUAGACUGUGGCUCACUUAAUAGGUCACAUGCAUGUGUACACAGCAUGGUGAGAUGGCCAGGGAGCCAAUGAUGCUGGAAAGCUUGUGAUUCACUCAUACUGACCUCUUCUUGGCUUUACGUUUUACUGGCUUUUGCUUUCUCGACUCCUGAAUCCUUAGCAUAAAAUUCUCGCUGCUUAACGUGGAUGGAACUGGAGAGUGUAAUGCUAAGUGAAAUAAGCCAUACAGAGAAAGACAGAUAUCACAUGGUUUCACUCUUAUGUGGAUCCUGAGAAACUUAACAGGAACCCAUGGGGGAGGGGAAGAAAAAAAAAAAAGAGGUUAGAGUGGGAGAGAGCCAAAGCAUAAGAGACUGUUAAAAACUGAGAACAAACUGAGGGUUGAUGGGGGGUGGGAGGGAGGGGAGGGUGGGUGAUGGGUAUUGAGGAGGGCACCUUUUGGGAUGAGCACUGGGUGUUGUAUGGAAACCAAUUUUUCAAUAAAUUUCAUAUAUAAAAAAAAAAAAAGUUAAAAUCAUAGACCUAAAACCAAUGGGGAAAAAAAAAAAAUUCUCGCUGCUUGGUGAGACAGCAGGACCCGGUGGUUAAGUCCAGAGGCUCUGAAAUUACAUUCCCUAGUUUCAAAAUAUGACUCCAUCCUUUACAAACUGUGUUAUCCUGAGCAAGUUCUUGACCCUCUUGAACUUGUUUCUUUAUCUGUAAAAUGAGGAUAAAAGGGUAUCAUCCUCACAGAUUUUUCAUGAGGACAAAAAUGGUAUACGUGUCGUGAUGAUAGGUUUAAGCUGUCACCUUGGUUACGCCAUAAUUGAAUACACAGCUAUUCAAUUAAAUACUACAUCUAAGGGUUGCUGUGAAGGUAUUUCAUAGAUGUGGUCAACAUCUGCAAUCCAAUGACAUCAAGUAAAGGAGAUUAUCCUCUACAACCUGAAUUGGUGGCAUCCAAUCGGUUGAAAAGCCUUAAGAGAAACACUGAGAUUUCCUGAGAAGAAAGAAAUUCUGCUUCAAGAUGGCUGCAUCAGCUCCCGCCUGAGAGUCUCUGGCCUGCUGGCCUGCCACAGAGACUUUGAAUUUGCCAGCCUCACCACUGUGUAAGGCAAUUCCUUAAAGUAGAUCUCAAUUGUAUACAUAUCCCACUGGUUCCGUCGCUCUGGACAACCCUAAUGCAUUUGUGCAAAGCAGUUAGCACGGUGCCUUGUUCAUCACAGUCCCCACAAAGCAUAGACCUAUCAUUAUGAUUUUCUGCAUAUAUGUUUAAUAUAGGGAAUGCUUUCUAGAAACAUGGGCUGCUGGGGGUCAUCCCUAUGAAAAGGCGAUCCUGACAGUUACUCAUUCUUGUCAUACUUCCUGAAGUUGUGACAUGUCUCUGUUCCAUUUUUCCAGCGCAACGACGUGAUGAGCUCCAUAACGUCUUAGGUCUUGCAUGGCCCUCUACGUGGCAGCUGAUUUUCACUCUUGCUUCUCUGACAUUCUCCUGGGAAGGCCACUAGCCACUCAGCCUGCACUUCACAUCACCCUGAAGCUGUUCCAUGAGGCUUUGCAGCAGCCGAGGCACUGUCACCUGCGUACCCUGUUUAGUUUUGUCAGAGUUGAACCACAAGAAUAUACAAUAAUGGGAGAGAGACCAAAGAGUUAAACCUUAUUCAGACUGAGCAAAGCGCCUUCUGGGAAGCUGGUUCACUGGCUAAGAAUACUCUAUGUCCUAUACAUGAUACUCUAUGUACUUGUACUCAUUGUACAUAAGGAAACAGGUUUUUUGUAGGUCAAAAAGGUUGAAUGUUGGCAAUUGCAUAUGUUUCACCGUAUAAUUAUACUCUGACUUGCUAUAAUGGAUUUAUAGAGUCUCUAUUUUUAAUAAAAAUAUUUCUGUGCUAUAUAGGGCAGUGCUCAACAACAUAUGUGUAUAAUUCAUGUUGCUAUUCUUAGACUUUUAGUUGUAGCAAAAGAUCCAGAUCUUGGCCUUAAUACUUUCCUGGGGUUGGUGUUGGUUUCUUGGAGAAAUGGGGAGAUGGGCUAAGCAUGGAGGCUGGGUGUGCUCUCUCAUUAUUGACAUCACAACAGGCAGUUUGCAGCUUAAGUCUCCAGCCCAGAGUGUCCUGAGCCAUUUGUUUGCUCUAGCUGACCCAGAUAUUACAGUGGGGAUAGAUGAGUAUUAGGUGUCAUAUUAUGAGCUCUUCUCCGCCAGUAAGCUAUUUUCACUAUAUUGGGGGUUUUCAGUACAGACAGCACCAAAGAUGGGGGCAAAAUGCUAAGUAAUGCUAUGUAUACACACAUGGGGUUUUGGAAAGGAGAAAGAUGCUGAAUGUUACUUAAUUAAAAGAUGAAAAAAAUCCUGUCUCAUACUUCACAUCAUCUACAUAAAUAAGCAAAGCGCCAUGUACUUC
rnacentral:lncRNA from 1 species